GGUUAAGCGACUAAGCGUACACGGUGGAUGCCCUGGCAGUCAGAGGCGAUGAAGGACGUGCUAAUCUGCGAUAAGCGUCGGUAAGGUGAUAUGAACCGUUAUAACCGGCGAUUUCCGAAUGGGGAAACCCAGUGUGUUUCGACACACUAUCAUUAACUGAAUCCAUAGGUUAAUGAGGCGAACCGGGGGAACUGAAACAUCUAAGUACCCCGAGGAAAAGAAAUCAACCGAGAUUCCCCCAGUAGCGGCGAGCGAACGGGGAGCAGCCCAGAGCCUGAAUCAGUGUGUGUGUUAGUGGAAGCGUCUGGAAAGGCGCGCGAUACAGGGUGACAGCCCCGUACACAAAAAUGCACAUGCUGUGAGCUCGAUGAGUAGGGCGGGACACGUGGUAUCCUGUCUGAAUAUGGGGGGACCAUCCUCCAAGGCUAAAUACUCCUGACUGACCGAUAGUGAACCAGUACCGUGAGGGAAAGGCGAAAAGAACCCCGGCGAGGGGAGUGAAAAAGAACCUGAAACCGUGUACGUACAAGCAGUGGGAGCACGCUUAGGCGUGUGACUGCGUACCUUUUGUAUAAUGGGUCAGCGACUUAUAUUCUGUAGCAAGGUUAACCGAAUAGGGGAGCCGAAGGGAAACCGAGUCUUAACUGGGCGUUAAGUUGCAGGGUAUAGACCCGAAACCCGGUGAUCUAGCCAUGGGCAGGUUGAAGGUUGGGUAACACUAACUGGAGGACCGAACCGACUAAUGUUGAAAAAUUAGCGGAUGACUUGUGGCUGGGGGUGAAAGGCCAAUCAAACCGGGAGAUAGCUGGUUCUCCCCGAAAGCUAUUUAGGUAGCGCCUCGUGAAUUCAUCUCCGGGGGUAGAGCACUGUUUCGGCAAGGGGGUCAUCCCGACUUACCAACCCGAUGCAAACUGCGAAUACCGGAGAAUGUUAUCACGGGAGACACACGGCGGGUGCUAACGUCCGUCGUGAAGAGGGAAACAACCCAGACCGCCAGCUAAGGUCCCAAAGUCAUGGUUAAGUGGGAAACGAUGUGGGAAGGCCCAGACAGCCAGGAUGUUGGCUUAGAAGCAGCCAUCAUUUAAAGAAAGCGUAAUAGCUCACUGGUCGAGUCGGCCUGCGCGGAAGAUGUAACGGGGCUAAACCAUGCACCGAAGCUGCGGCAGCGACGCUUAUGCGUUGUUGGGUAGGGGAGCGUUCUGUAAGCCUGCGAAGGUGUGCUGUGAGGCAUGCUGGAGGUAUCAGAAGUGCGAAUGCUGACAUAAGUAACGAUAAAGCGGGUGAAAAGCCCGCUCGCCGGAAGACCAAGGGUUCCUGUCCAACGUUAAUCGGGGCAGGGUGAGUCGACCCCUAAGGCGAGGCCGAAAGGCGUAGUCGAUGGGAAACAGGUUAAUAUUCCUGUACUUGGUGUUACUGCGAAGGGGGGACGGAGAAGGCUAUGUUGGCCGGGCGACGGUUGUCCCGGUUUAAGCGUGUAGGCUGGUUUUCCAGGCAAAUCCGGAAAAUCAAGGCUGAGGCGUGAUGACGAGGCACUACGGUGCUGAAGCAACAAAUGCCCUGCUUCCAGGAAAAGCCUCUAAGCAUCAGGUAACAUCAAAUCGUACCCCAAACCGACACAGGUGGUCAGGUAGAGAAUACCAAGGCGCUUGAGAGAACUCGGGUGAAGGAACUAGGCAAAAUGGUGCCGUAACUUCGGGAGAAGGCACGCUGAUAUGUAGGUGAGGUCCCUCGCGGAUGGAGCUGAAAUCAGUCGAAGAUACCAGCUGGCUGCAACUGUUUAUUAAAAACACAGCACUGUGCAAACACGAAAGUGGACGUAUACGGUGUGACGCCUGCCCGGUGCCGGAAGGUUAAUUGAUGGGGUUAGCGCAAGCGAAGCUCUUGAUCGAAGCCCCGGUAAACGGCGGCCGUAACUAUAACGGUCCUAAGGUAGCGAAAUUCCUUGUCGGGUAAGUUCCGACCUGCACGAAUGGCGUAAUGAUGGCCAGGCUGUCUCCACCCGAGACUCAGUGAAAUUGAACUCGCUGUGAAGAUGCAGUGUACCCGCGGCAAGACGGAAAGACCCCGUGAACCUUUACUAUAGCUUGACACUGAACAUUGAGCCUUGAUGUGUAGGAUAGGUGGGAGGCUUUGAAGUGUGGACGCCAGUCUGCAUGGAGCCGGCCUUGAAAUACCACCCUUUAAUGUUUGAUGUUCUAACGUUGACCCGUAAUCCGGGUUGCGGACAGUGUCUGGUGGGUAGUUUGACUGGGGCGGUCUCCUCCUAAAGAGUAACGGAGGAGCACGAAGGUUGGCUAAUCCUGGUCGGACAUCAGGAGGUUAGUGCAAUGGCAUAAGCCAGCUUGACUGCGAGCGUGACGGCGCGAGCAGGUGCGAAAGCAGGUCAUAGUGAUCCGGUGGUUCUGAAUGGAAGGGCCAUCGCUCAACGGAUAAAAGGUACUCCGGGGAUAACAGGCUGAUACCGCCCAAGAGUUCAUAUCGACGGCGGUGUUUGGCACCUCGAUGUCGGCUCAUCACAUCCUGGGGCUGAAGUAGGUCCCAAGGGUAUGGCUGUUCGCCAUUUAAAGUGGUACGCGAGCUGGGUUUAGAACGUCGUGAGACAGUUCGGUCCCUAUCUGCCGUGGGCGCUGGAGAACUGAGGGGGGCUGCUCCUAGUACGAGAGGACCGGAGUGGACGCAUCACUGGUGUUCGGGUUGUCAUGCCAAUGGCACUGCCCGGUAGCUAAAUGCGGAAGAGAUAAGUGCUGAAAGCAUCUAAGCACGAAACUUGCCCCGAGAUGAGUUCUCCCUGACCCUUUAAGGGUCCUGAAGGAACGUUGAAGACGACGACGUUGAUAGGCCGGGUGUGUAAGCGCAGCGAUGCGUUGAGCUAACCGGUACUAAUGAACCGUGAGGCUUAACCU
rnacentral:rRNA from 1 species